rnacentral:tRNA from 1 species
GUCUUAGUAAUUUAAUUAAAAUGUUGGUCUUGUAAACCAAAAAUAAGAAUUCUCUUCUAAUACU